rnacentral:rRNA from 1 species
GACGAACGCUGGCGGCGUGCUUAACACAUGCAAGUCGAACGGAAAGGCCCUGAUUGUGUGGGGUGCUCGAGGGGCGAACGGGUGAGUAACACGUGAGUAACCGGCCCUUGACUUUGGGGUAACUUCAGGAAAGUGGGGCUAAGACCGGAUAGGAGCUCCUGCAGCAGGGUGGGGGGUGGAAAGUUUCUGCGGGUGGGGAUGGACGCGCGGCUUAUCAGCUUGUUGGUGGGGUAGUGGCUUGCCAAGGCAGUGACGGGUAGCCCGCCUGAGAGGGUGGCCGGGCACCUGGGGACUGCGAGACGGCCCAGACUGCUACGGGAGGCAGCAGUGGGGAAUAUUGCCCAACGGGACGACGUCUGAUGCAGCAACGCCGCGUUCGGGAUGCCCGCCUUCGGGUUGUAAACCGCUUUCGCCUGUGACGAAGCGUGAGUGACGGUAACGAGUAAAGAAGCACCGGCUAACUACGUG